rnacentral:rRNA from 1 species
GACGAACGCUGGCGGCGUGCCUAAUACAUGCAAGUCGAACGCACAGUUUAUACCGUAGCUUGCUACACCAUAAACUGUGAGUUGCGAACGGGUGAGUAACGCGUAGGUAACCUGCCUGGUAGCGGGGGAUAACUAUUGGAAACGAUAGCUAAUACCGCAUAAUAUUAAUUAUUGCAUGAUAAUUGAUUGAAAGAUGCAAUUGCAUCACUACCAGAUGGACCUGCGUUGUAUUAGCUAGUAGGUGAGGUAACGGCUCACCUAGGCGACGAUACAUAGCCGACCGGGGAGGGUGAUCGGUCACACUGGGACUGAGACACGGCCCAGAAUCCUACGGGAGGCAGCAGUAGGGAAUCUUCGGCAAUGGACGAAAGUCUGAACGAGCAACGCCGCGUUAGUGAAGAAGGUUUUCGGAUCGGAAAGAUCUGUUGUAAGAGAAGAACGGGUGUGAGAGUGGAAAGUUCACACUGUGACGGUAUCUUACCAGAAAGGGACGGCUAACUACGUG